rnacentral:lncRNA from 1 species
ACUCUUCUACUUAGAGUUGAUAUUUGUAUUGAAAGAAAGAAAGGAAGAAAGGAAGAAAGGAAGAGAGAAAGGAAGAAAGGAAGAGAGAAAGGAAGGAAAGAAAGAAAAAAACUCAAUUCACUUCAAUUCUUCAAUGAUUUCUAAUUUGAGAGAAUGAUACAACCCAUACUGCACUGGACAUGGAUUCAAGAAGAUCUAGGUUCAAAUUCUGUCUUAAACAUUUUGUUAGCUGUUAGACUCUGGAUAAAUCACUUAAUCUCCCUUUACCCCAAUGUUCUCAGCUGUAUCAGAUUCCUUGGUGUGGAUGACCUUAUACUCAGCUAAAUCAAAAGAACCAUCCAACUUUAGAAGUGUAUAUAGGGGAAAACCAACCAAGCAACCAAAAAAAAUACCUAUCCUUGGAUAUAUCAGGUCUCAAAAGAACCAUAGAUCACUACAAUUCAGUUUAUAAUCUUCUAGAGCAGCAAGUGUGAAGAAUUCUUUAUCUGAAGAGGUUAAAUGACUUACCAGCAAGUGGCAGAACCGUACUCCAGCCCAGGUCUUAUGACUUGACUUCACAUCCAGAAUUCUUGCCUCUCUGGCUUUUUGACACAUGCAUAAAGACAAGAAAUAACUCAGCCUAUUGAAAUGAAUAAUCCAAAAACAGACUCUAACCCCCAACAACCCUUCCUCCAUCAAUCAGCAGUAUGAAACUGUCAAUUGUGUAAAGUUUUUCUGAAGACAUAAUUUCUUGAAUAUUGGUGACCAGCUGCAAUAAGAUCUCAUUCAUUACUCUUUCACAAUCCCACUGAUUUUAUGGAACUGCAAUAGGCUAAUAAUUUCAGGGAGCAGAACAGCUCAUUUUUCAGAAAAAGAAAUUAUAGCCAAAAAUAUAUGUACUGAAUUGGCUAGAUAACAAGGCAGGAAAUGCAAUGUUUCAUAAUCUGAAUUUUGGAAUAUUUAGCUGUGUUCAAUUUUCCUGAAGUAUCUGGCCUACUCUUGACAGCGACUAAGAAACCAAUAGGGCUGCCUGAGAUAAUUACAUAGCAUGCACUGCUCUACUUCAUAUGCAGUCAUUAAGUCUAUUAUAGAUUCCUAUUUGUGAUGCUAGAGGUUAAGGGGUUUCAUGGAGAUUUCCAUUUAAAUCCCUAUCUUUAUGGGAUUAGAAUACAGCCAUAAAAAUGUGCUCCCAGGCUGAAACUUGAUACACAAGGUCUUGGCCUGGGUGCAAAUGUUUUUAAAUUUUUUCAUAAAUAUCAUUAUAAAAUGUCUUUGUAAAAUAAAAAUUACAUUUAUUGGGUC